GGAACAGAUUGGGCUACUGGACAUCGUUCUCGGUUGUGGGUCAUACUGGCUGUCGGUGUUCGAAGAGGUGGCGGAGGUGAAACUUGUCGACCCAGAGUUGUUCCCUCUCUUUAACAUAUGGCUGAGGGAUUUCGAGGAACUGGCUGAGGUGAAGGAGAUCAUCCCAGCAGCCGACAAGCUGCUUGCGUAUGCUAGGGGUAUCCGUCAGUUCAUGCUGAGCCUCAAGGUUGAUAGCUCCAGCUCCGGCGACAGCAGCAGCGGUGAUGACAG
rnacentral:misc_RNA from 1 species